rnacentral:rRNA from 1 species
AUACGGAGGGUGCGAGCGUUGUUCGGAAUUAUUGGGCGUAAAGAGCAUGUAGGCGGUCUGUUAAGUCCGGUGUGAAAGCCCGGGGCUCAACCCCGGAAGUGCAUUGGAUACUGGCAGACUAGAGUAUGGGAGAGGAAAGCGGAAUUCCGAGUGUAGGAGUGAAAUCCGUAGAUAUUCGGAGGAACACCAGUGGCGAAGGCGGCUUUCUGGACCAAUACUGACGCUGAGAUGCGAAAGCGUGGGGAGCAAACAGGAUUAGAAACCCCAGUAGUCC